rnacentral:lncRNA from 13 species
GUUCCUUUUGAAGCUAUCCAAAAACCUCAAUUCUAGAUGCAUGCCUCACUCUUCUCCCUCCAUUCCAAGAGAGAAGCCACCAGUUGGACUCCUCUAGAUUAUGCUGAGCUAUACCUUAUCUGUAGCACUAUAACUGUAGACCUAUACCUGUAGACUCUCUCAUUUGUAGCACUGUAUCUAUAGAACCUCUGAUGCUUCGAAAAGCCACCUUUGCUUUCAGCAGCCUGGAGAUAUCCAAACCAUGCUGAUUUCGUUAGUGCUUGGAAUCAGGCAAACAGAACCCUGCCCCUCAAGGUAGCCCUAGAUAAAAGCUACAAUGUUGAAUGCUUAUUUCACUAUUUUCUACUCCCUAGUCCAGAAGCCACAAACUGAGCUGUGCUGUGUGGGCUUGUGGAAGGGAUAAUUGUAGAUAAAAUUAAACAGCUCUUCUCACCUAUUUCAAUGCAGCUAUUCUGAGCUCUGUAUUUCCCUGGCAUACUGCAAAUUCUUUCCUGGUUCCUAGAAUCCCAUAAAGAUUUUUUUUGGUCUGUACAUUUUUGUUAAUUGACUGUCUGUGAAGGAACCUGGGCUGGGACUUUUUAUUCUAUCAUCUUGCUGCUACAGCUUCACCUGGUUUCUGCUACUGAGUCUGUCUGGUACAUACUUCUAUGAGAAUCCUCAAAAGGUGCUCUCCUGACAAGACUGCCAGUGAGUUACACCAUUGAAAAAAAAAAAAAAAAAGACAUACAAAUGGCCGGACAGAGCCCAGCUUGUCCAGCAGAGGCCAUUGUGGAGCUCCAUGGGAAGAAUCACACUGUAUCAUAUUUUCAUGGAAGAGGCAGCAAUGUGUCUUCUAGAAGGUACUUAUAUUAUCUGGGUAAACAUGUAUCUUCAGUGCUGAAAACAUGUUUUCCAACACCAUAAGCGUUAGAACUAGAGAUGACAAUUGAAUUUUCACCUGUCCAAUUAUAUGGUAGCUAGUAGUAAUUUUUAUAUUCAUAGUAAUAAGAAUAAAGUUUUCUUCAAUUGAAGGAAGAGACUGAAU